UAUGAUAUUGGCUUGAAACCAGUUAGAGGGGGUUCGAUUCCUUCCUUUCUUA
rnacentral:tRNA from 1 species